UUUAGUUCUAAGAAGUUGACUAUUCUAGAUUUUUUUUUGCAUAGUUGGUAUUUAAUAUAAUAUUUUUAGGGUAUUCCGGAGCAAAAGACCGACAAGGAUUGUGGAUAUUUUAUAAUGAGAUACAUGAAGGAAAUAGUGGAGGAUAAAAACUUGGACUUUUUCAGCAAGUGGGAGAGAAGAAGUAAAGCAGCAUAUUUCCAGGAGGAUAUUGAUGUGGUCAGAACUGAGUGGGCAAAGUUUGUGGUUAAAACAUAUAUGUAAGAUUUGUGUUGGUACUUCUUGGAGACCUAGUUCAAAGUUUGUGGUUAUUUUUGGUUGGACAGGAUCAGUAGCUAGUACUUUGAAUUGAUAUGUAAGAAAUACUUUAACAAUUGGGUACUCUAUUUCUAGUUUCGGUGUGUUUUGGCAAUGUAUGACAAUGAUGUGCUAUAGUAAAUGACAUUUGAACCAA